rnacentral:lncRNA from 1 species
AAACACUGCUCACUUUGCUAAUGUGACACAGAUUGAAGAUGCUGUCUCCUUGUGGGCCAAACUGAAAUUGCAGAAGGCUUCAGAACGAUGGCAGCCUGACACUGAGGAAGAAUAUGAAGACUCAAGUGGGAAUGUUGUGAAUAAGAAGACAUACGAGGAUCUGAAAAGACAAGGACUGCUCUAGUGUUCAGGGAUGUAGCUCAGCUUUUGGGCUAGCCCAGGCUUCCCUAAGAUCUGCUUUUUCUAUUUCUCCCAACCAAAUCCUCUUAAAGACCCUUUGCUAUGUAGUCUCAUGGUCUAGCAUGCAUCUUGUAGAAACAAGGCAUGCUGGCAGAUUGCAGGGUUGAGAUGUGUUUUAUCUGUUUUAUAUUUUAAAAGAUUCUGCCAGAAAAUAAAACCAGACCUUGUUCUAAAGCCCAGGGUUAUGGACCAACUCAGUGCUUCAGGUCUUAACGCCUCCAUACCUCUUCCUCACCAACUUUACUAGUAGCUGAGAUUUAAUGGGCACCUAUUAUGCUACAUAUCAUGUUAGGUAAAUCUGACCUGACCUCUUUCCCCACCCUCCUUUGUUGCUGCUUCCCUGAAUGAGUAUUACCCCAGGAUGAGGUCUGCCAUCAGCUUAGUUAGCCAUUGAUGCAAAUACUAGGGAAAGACUAGGAGGAUGAGCCAGGGUUGCUACUAAGGACUAAGUGUCGCACCAAGGUUUGCCUUUUGUAUUUGCAUAAAGAAAGGAGUUGGAGCUGGGUGCAGUGGCUUGUGCCUGUAGUCCCAGCUACUUGGGAGGCUGAGGCAGGAGGGUUGCUUGAGACUAGCCUAGGUAACAUAGUGAGACCCUGUCUCAUUAAAAAAAAAAAAAAGGCAUGGUGGCACGCACUGUAGUCCCAGCUACUCAGGAGACUGAGGCUAGAAGAUCCUUUGAACCUAGGAGUUUGAGACCAGCCUGGGCGAUAUAGUGAGGCCCCAUC